CAGAGGGGGCAAGCGUUGUUCGGAAUUACUGGGCGUAAAGGGCGCGUAGGCGGCCUGCUAAGUCGAACGUGAAAUCCCUGGGCUCAACCCAGGAACUGCGUCCGAUACUGGUUGGCUUGAAUCCGGGAGAGGGACGUGGAAUUCCAGGUGUAGCGGUGAAAUGCGUAGAUAUCUGGAGGAACACCGGUGGCGAAGGCGACGUCCUGGACCGGCAUUGACGCUGAGGCGCGAAAGCCAGGGGGAGCAAACGGGAUUAGAUACCCCGGUAGUCCUGGCCCUAAACGAUGAAUGCUUGGUGUGGCGGGUAUCGAUCCCUGCCGUGCCGAAGCUAACGCAUUAAGCAUUCCGCCUGGGGAGUACGGUCGCAAGGCUGG
rnacentral:rRNA from 1 species